ACGGAAGGGCAGCAGUGGGGAAUAUUGCACAAUGGGGGAAACCCUGAUGCAGCGACGCCGCGUGAGUGAAGAAGUAUUUCGGUAUGUAAAGCUCUAUCAGCAAGGAAGAAAAUGACGGUACUUGACUAAGAAGCCCCGGCUAACUACGUGCCAGCAGCCGCGGUAAUACGCAGGGGGCAAGCGUUAUCCGGAUUUACUGGGUGUAAAGGGAGCGUAGACGGUAUGGCAAGUCUGAAGUGAAAUGCUGGGGCUCAACCCCAGAACUGCUUUGGAAACUGUCAAACUAGAGUGCAGGAGAGGUAAGUGGAAUUCCUAGUGUAGCGGUGAAAUGCGUAGAUAUUAGGAGGAACACCAGUGGCGAAGGCGGCUUACUGGACUGUAACUGACGUUGAGGCUCGAAAGCGUGGGGAGCAAACAGGAUUAGAUACCCUGGUA
rnacentral:rRNA from 1 species